rnacentral:rRNA from 1 species
GACGAACGCUGGCGGCGUGCUUAACACAUGCAAGUCGAACGGAAAGGCCCUGCUUGCAGGGUGCUCGAGUGGCGAACGGGUGAGUAACACGUGGGUGAUCUGCCCCUUACUUUGGGAUAAGCCUGGUAAACUGGGUCUAAUACUGGAUAGGACCAUGCUGUAGGUGGUGUGGUGGAAAGAUUAGUUUCGGUAAGGGAUGAGCUCGCGGCCUAUCAGCUUGUUGGUGGGGUAAUGGCCUACCAAGGCGUCGACGGGUAGCCGGCCUGAGAGGGUGGACGGCCACAUUGGGACUGAGAUACGGCCCAGACUCCUACGGGAGGCAGCAGUGGGGAAUAUUGCACAGUGGGCGCAAGCCUGAUGCAGCGACGCCGCGUGGGGGAUGACGGCCUUCGGGUUGUAAACUCCUUUCAGCCAUGACGAAGCCCUUGUGGUGACGGUAGUGGUAGAAGAAGCACCGGCUAACUACGUG